UACGGAGGCAGCAGUGGGGAUUUUCCGCAUGGGCGAAAGCCUGACGGAGCAAUGCCGCGUGAGGGAUGACGGCCUAUGGGUUGUAAACCUCUUUUUUCAGGGAGGAAUAAAUGACUGUACCUGAAGAAUAACCAUCGGCUAACUCCGUGCCAGCCGCGCGGUA
rnacentral:rRNA from 1 species